rnacentral:rRNA from 1 species
GACGUAGGGCGCGAGCGUUGUCCGGAUUUAUUGGGCGUAAAGAGCUCGUAGGCGGCUUGUCGCGUCGAAUGUGAAAACCCGAGGCUCAACUUCGGGCUUGCAUUCGAUACGGGCAGGCUAGAGUUCGGUAGGGGGAGACUGGAAUUCCUGGUGUAGCGGUGAAAUGCGCAGAUAUCAGGAGGAACACCGGUGGCGAAGGCGGGUCUCUGGGCCGAAACUGACGCUGAGGAGCGAAAGCGUGGGGAGCGAACAGG